UACGGAGGGUGCAAGCGUUAUCCGGAUUCACUGGGUUUAAAGGGUGCGUAGGUGGGCAGGUAAGUCAGUGGUGAAAUCUCCGGGCUUAACCCGGAAACUGCCGUUGAUACUAUUUGUCUUGAAUAUUGUGGAGGUAAGCGGAAUAUGUCAUGUAGCGGUGAAAUGCUUAGAUAUGACAUAGAACACCAAUUGUGAAGGCAGCUUACUACACAACGAUUGACGCUGAGGCACGAAAGCGUGGGGAUCAAACAGG
rnacentral:rRNA from 1 species